CCGAAAGGUGGGCUAAUACAGCAUGAGACCACGCGGUUUCGAUCGUGAGGUCAAAGCGGGCUUCUGUUCACAAGCUCGCGCUCUAGGAUGGGGUCCGCGGCCCAUCAGCUAGUUGGUAGGGUAAUGGCUCACCAAAGGGCUAUGACGCAUACCUGGUCUGAGAGGAUGAUCAGGCACACUGGAACUGAGACACGGUCCAGACUCCUACGGGAGGCAGCAGUGGGGAAUAUUGCACAAUGGAGGAAACUCUGAUGCAGCAACGCCGCGUGGAGGAUGACGCAUUUCGGUGUGUAAACUCCUUUUAUAAGGGAAGAUAAUGACGGUACCUUAUGAAUAAGCACCGGCUAACUCCGUGCCAGCAGCCGCGGUAAUACGGAGGGUGCAAGCGUUACUCGGAAUCACUGGGCGUAAAGGAUGCGUAGGCUGGAAAUCAAGUCGAGAGUGAAAUCCAACGGCUCAACCGUUGAACUGCUCUCGAAACUGGUUACCUAGAAUAUGGGAG
rnacentral:rRNA from 1 species